rnacentral:rRNA from 1 species
UACGUAGGGGGCUAGCGUUGUCCGGAAUCAUUGGGCGUAAAGCGCGUGUAGGCGGUCCGGUAAGUCCGCUGUGAAAGUCGGGGGCUCAACCCUCGGAUGCCGGUGGAUACUGUCGGGCUUGAGUACGGAAGAGGCGAGUGGAAUUCCUGGUGUAGCGGUGAAAUGCGCAGAUAUCAGGAGGAACACCAAUGGCGAAGGCAGCUCGCUGGGACGGUCCUGACGCUGAGACGCGAAGGCGUGGGGAGCGAACGGG